rnacentral:lncRNA from 1 species
UUUUUUUUUUUUUAAUCUCGUCGGCUGUAAUAUUUCUUGGAUGUAUGUCUCCACACGUUGGAACUCCCUAGAAGCUCAUUUCCUGGACUUCCUCGAUAACCAUUGAUCUCCUUGCAUUGCAUUUUUAGUUUCCAAGUUUCAUAUUUACGAAUAUAUAUAGACAUGCAUGUUACGUACAACCACGUGAAGUUCAUGUACAUAUAUAUGCUC